AACGAACGCUGGCGGCAUGCCUAACACAUGCAAGUCGAACGAGACCUUCGGGUCUAGUGGCGCACGGGUGCGUAACGCGUGGGAAUCUGCCCUUAGGUUCGGAAUAACUCCCCGAAAGGGGUGCUAAUACCGGAUAAUGUCUUCGGACCAAAGAUUUAUCGCCUUUGGAUGGGCCCGCGUUGGAUUAGCUAGUUGGUAGGGUAAAAGCCUACCAAGGCGACGAUCCAUAGCUGGUCUGAGAGGAUGAUCAGCCACACUGGGACUGAGACACGGCCCAGACUCCUACGGGAAGCAGCAGUGGGGAAUAUUGGACAAUGGGCGAAAGCCUGAUCCAGCAAUGCCGCGUGAGUGAUGAAGGCCUUAGGGUUGUAAAGCUCUUUUACCCGGGAUGAUAAUGACAGUACCGGGAGAAUAAGCUCCGGCUAACUCCGUG
rnacentral:rRNA from 1 species